CUUAUCUUCACCACAGAGCAAAACCUUCACAGGACCAAUAGCUGGAGGCCUGAGAGCUGGACAGGCUUUGUUCUUCCAGGGUGUCGUUCCAACAGAUGCCAAAAACUUCGCGAUAAAUCUGAUGUUAGAGAACAGGGAAG
rnacentral:lncRNA from 1 species